UACGGAGGGGGCUAGCGUUGUUCGGAGUUACUGGGCGUAAAGCGCACGUAGGCGGCUUUGUAAGUUAGAGGUGAAAGCCCAGGGCUUAACCCUGGAAUUGCCUUUAAGACUGCAUCGCUAGAAUCGUGGAGAGGUGAGUGGAAUUCCGAGUGUAGAGGUGAAAUUCGUAGAUAUUCGCAAGAACACCAGUGGCGAAGGCGGCUCACUGGCCCGAUACUGACGCUGAGGCACGAAAGCGCGGGGAGCAAACAGG
rnacentral:rRNA from 1 species